rnacentral:rRNA from 1 species
UACGGGGGGAGCAAGCGUUGUUCAGAUUUACUGGGCGUAAAGGGCGCGUAGGCGGUCAGCACAAGUCAGUUGUGAAAUCUCCGAGCUUAACUCGGAAAGGUCAACUGAUACUGUGCGACUAGAGUGCAGAAGGGGCAACUGGAAUUCUCGGUGUAGCGGUGAAAUGCGUAGAUAUCGAGAGGAACACCUGCGGCGAAGGCGGGUUGCUGGGCUGACACUGACGCUGAGGCGCGAAAGCUAGGGGAGCGAACGGG